rnacentral:ncRNA from 1 species
UGGGGGUUGGAAUUACGAUGCUGUGGCCCCCGCUAGCGUUGAACUGGUGAUCACGGGGAUCUUCACACACCAGUAAGUAUAGCCGCGUCUGCUUAAAGUAGGCCGCCAGGGGUUACUCACCACUGCCCUGGUGCUCCGAAUUUUAUGGAGUAGACGCGCUGCAUGCUUUGAAGGGGUAAGCUGUUGUUGGACAGCUUAGAAAAUGCAGACGCCG